rnacentral:snRNA from 1 species
UACUGUGGGGACAAAACUCUGCAUGCUUCUGUGUGGCAUCUGCAGUGGACCCAGAGCAUUUGUCUCCUUCCCCCCUCACUGCUCAAUGUGUAUCCCUCCUGAAAAUGCGUGCUAGAUCGAAGAGGAUGACCUUCCCUGAUAGAGACGUCCCAUUCAUUGGUCAAGGGCAUAAGGCAGUUGUGCUCCCCUGCUAGAAUCUCCAAACAAGCUCAAGGUUCUUUUGUAGAAAAAUCUAAGGUAGAAGAGUAGUAAUGCACUGAAACAGGCUGCCCAGGGAGGGGGUGGAGUCAUCAUCCCUGGAG